rnacentral:piRNA from 1 species
UCGGAGAAGAAUUGGGUUUUACCUCUGC